rnacentral:rRNA from 1 species
GAUGAACGCUGGCGGCGUGCCUAAUACAUGCAAGUCGAGCGAACGGACGAGAAGCUUGCUUUUCUGAUGUUAGCGGCGGACGGGUGAGUAACACGUGGAUAACCUACCUAUAAGACUGGGAUAACUUCGGGAAACCGGAGCUAAUACCGGAUAAUAUUUUGAACCGCAUGGUUCAAAAGUGAAAGACGGUCUUGCUGUCACUUAUAGAUGGAUCCGCGCUGCAUUAGCCAGUUGGUAAGGUAACGGCUUACCAAGGCAACGAUGCAUAGCCGACCUGAGAGGGUGAUCGGCCACACUGGAACUGAGACACGGUCCAGACUCCUACGGGAGGCAGCAGUAGGGAAUCUUCCGCAAUGGGCGAAAGCCUGACGGAGCAACGCCGCGUGAGUGAUGAAGGUCUUCGGAUCGUAAAACUCUGUUAUUAGGGAAGAACAUAUGUGUAAGUAACUGUGCACAUCUUGACGGUACCUAAUCUGAAAGCCACGGCUAACUACGUG